GUGUUGUAUGAAAGGACGGGAAGUUGGCAGUCUCCUUGACAAGCAUGGAAGAGGCCCUUGGCACGGAGAACAAGCAUAUGGUUGAGGCAUUGCCGCUUACUUCUCAGUUUCUAACUGCUUUUAAU
rnacentral:ncRNA from 1 species